AGAGUUUGAUCCUGGCUCAGAUUGAACGCUGGCGGCAGGCCUAACACAUGCAAGUCGAGCGGCAUCGGGAAGGUAGCUUGCUAUCUUUGCCGGCGAGCGGCGGACGGGUGAGUAAAGUCUGGGGAUCUGUCUGAUGGAGGGGGAUAACUACUGGAAACGGUAGCUAAUACCGCAUGAUGUUACGCGACCAAAGCGGGGGACCUCCGGGCCUCGCGCCAUCAGAUGAACCCAGAUGGGAUUAGCUAGUAGGAGAGGUAAUGGCUCCCCUAGGCGACGAUCCCUAGCUGGUCUGAGAGGAUAACCAGCCACACUGGAACUGAGAGACGGUCCAGACUCCUACGGGAGGCAGCAGUGGGGAAUAUUGCACAAUGGGCGCAAGCCUGAUGCAGCCAUGCCGCGUGUGUGAAGAAGGCCUUCGGGUUGUAAAGCACUUUCAGCGAGGAGGAAUGAAGCAAUGCAAAGAGUGUUGCUAAUGGACGUUACUCGCAGAAGAAGCACCGGCUAACUCCGUGCCAGCAGCCGCGGUAAUACGGAGGGUGCGAGCGUUAAUCGGAAUUACUGGGCGUAAAGAGCACGUAGGCGGUUUCUUAAGUCAGAUGUGAAAUCCCCGAGCUUCACUUGGGAACGGCAUUUGAAACUGAGAGUCUAGAGUUUUGUAGAGGGGGGUAGAAUUCCAGGUGUAGCGGUGAAAUGCGUAGAUAUCUGGAGGAAUACCGGUGGCGAAGGCGGCCCCCUGGACAGAGACUGACGCUGAGGUGCGAAAGCGUGGGUAGCAAACAGGAUUAGAUACCCUGGUAGUCCACGCUGUAAACGAUGUCGAUUUGUAGGUUGUGGUUAUAAACUGUGGCUUGCGGAGCAAACGCGUUAAAUCGACCGCCUGGGGAGUACGGCCGCAAGGUUAAAACUCAAAUGAAUUGACGGGGGCCCGCACAAGCGGUGGAGCAUGUGGUUUAAUUCGAUGCCACGCGAAGAACCUUACCUACUCUUGACAUCCAGAGG
rnacentral:rRNA from 1 species